rnacentral:tRNA from 1 species
GCCCGAGUGGCGAAAUUGGUAAACGUUGCGGCCUCAGAAGCCGUUGGGAGUUUCCCUUGAGAGUUCGAGUCUCUUCUCGGGCA